CUCGCUGCUUAAUGGGACCAGUAUGCCAUGCCCAAACACCUCUGCCCUCCAGCCUUUGGGCCAGGCUGGGCUAUUUUUCCUUCUGCAUAAAGCUCCUUCCCCCCAACCCCAAGCUAUGGGAGAUGGGGUGACAUCCCCAGCAUCGCUUCUGAGCGGUGGGAGAGGAAGAUAAAUUCAGGUUUGGGGUUUUCCCCAAGGGAAAAGGGAAAAUAAAAGGGCUCAGUGGGGUUCAGGAGUGUGGAAAAAGAGCAUGGGGUUGAACCUCUUGCUGCUGCAGAGCAUCCACCACCAGCUUCCCCCUCUGGGGUUUUAUUUGGUGCCUCUGAGGGUCCCGUAGCAUCGUGCCCCGUGGUGGUGGGAGCUGCCUUACCUCACACACUGCUCUCUCUCUGCCCAAUGACCCUUUAAUGCCUCCUUUAAGGUCUUCUGCUCCGAUCAAAUCACCAGGGACCACUUGACUUCUUGCUUUUCCACCGAUGAAGGUGCCUCUUAAUCAAUUAGCUGUGACCCUGAGCCAAGCAGAGCCUCGGGGUCGAGCUACGGCAUUACUGGGACCAGCAAGAAGGGAUAUUACACAUUAUGGAGAUUAUGGGUGGGCUGAAGAUGCUGUCUCAGCAAUUAAAGGCUUGGAGCCCACCUUGUUCCCUCCAUCCCACGCAGGUAUAGCCUGGAAACUCCUCGUGCCCCUUGGUCUGCUCCCAAAGGUCUCCAGCUGUGGGCAGAUUGAGAAAGAUGACCAGGUGGCACAAGGGGUUGACCUUCCCACCAGCUCCCAAAACUCCUCGUGACGAUGUCUGUGGAGCCAUCCUCCCUCCCUGGAUGUAUGUCAGAUGGGAAUAUUUUGGGAUGGGACUUGGUCUUCCAGAGAAACCCUUCCAAGUCUCCAUUCCCAUGUGGGGAAUUCUCCAUUCCCAUCAUCCAUUCUCCGAGGGUUUUCCUGUGUAGCCGAGCCCAAUGUGCUUUCCUCAAGGAGGGGGGAUGGAGCUCCCCUUUUGUCUCUUGCCAUUUGAGAGAUGGUUCCCAAAGCCACUGAGAUAUCAUCACGUUGGGGAGGGGAAAAGGGGGGUAAAAAAGGGGGGUGGGAGGGAUUUCUUGUGUUGCCGUUCUUCUGCCCGGCGUGCAGCGGAAGGAAGGACGGGAGAUGCCAAUCAUACUGGCUGCUUUGUGUAUACCAUGUAUACUAAACAUCGAUCUCUGCUGUUUGUGCCUCAAUAGCAAACCCGAAAUAAAACUGUAUUUAAAGUUA